rnacentral:rRNA from 1 species
UACGUAGGCAGCGAGCGUUGUUCGGAGUUACUGGGCGUAAAGAGUGCGUAGGCGGUUUUCUAAGUUUGGUGUGAAAUCUCCCGGCUUAACUGGGAGAGGUCGUUGAAGACUGGAAGACUUGAGGCAAUGAGAGGGGUGUAGAAUUCCCGGUGUAGUGGUGGAAUGCGUAGAUAUCGGGGGGAAUACCAGUGGCGAAAGCGGCACCCUAGCGUUAGCCUGACGCUCAUGUGCGAAAGCGUGGGGAGCGAACAGG